rnacentral:rRNA from 1 species
GGGAUGAACGCUGGCGGCGUGCUUAACACAUGCAAGUCGAACGCCCCGCAAGGGGAGUGGCAGACGGGUGAGUAACGCGUGGGAAUCUACCCAAUUCUUCGGAACAACUGAGGGAAACUUCAGCUAAUACCGGAUGUGCCCUUCGGGGGAAAGAUUUAUCGGAAUUGGAUGAGCCCGCGUUGGAUUAGCUAGUUGGUGGGGUAAAGGCCUACCAAGGCGACGAUCCAUAGCUGGUCUGAGAGGAUGAUCAGCCACACUGGGACUGAGACACGGCCCAGACUCCUACGGGAGGCAACAGUGGGGAAUAUUGGACAAUGGGCGCAAGCCUGAUCCAGCCAUGCCGCGUGAGUGAUGAAGGUCUUAGGAUUGUAAAGCUCUUUCACCGGUGAAGAUAAUGACGGUAACCGGAGAAGAAGCCCGGCUAACUUCGUGCCACAGCCGC